rnacentral:misc_RNA from 1 species
GAUGAAGAACGUAGCGAAAUGCGAUACGUAAUGUGAAUUGCAAAUUCAGUGAAUCAUCGAGUCUUUGAACGCACAUUGCGCCCCCUGGUAUUCCGGGGGGCAUGCCUGUCCGAGCGUCAUUGCUGCCCUCAAGCACGGCUUGUGUGUUGGGCCCCGUCCUCCGAUCCCGGGGGACGGGCCCGAAAGGCAGCGGCGGCACCGCGUCCGGUCCUCGAGCGUAUGGGGCUUUGUCACCCGCUCUGUAGGCCCGGCCGGCGCUUGCCGAUCAACCCAAAUUUUUUAUCCAGGUUGACCUCGGAUCAGGUAGGGAUACCCGCUGAACUUAAGCAUAUAAUAAGCGGAGGA